rnacentral:rRNA from 1 species
GACGAACGCUGGCGGCGUGCUUAACACAUGCCAGUCGAACGGAAAGGCCUCUUUCGGGGGGUACUCGAGUGGCGAACGGGUGAGUAACACGUGAGUAACCUGCCCUUGACUUUGGGAUAACUUCAGGAAACUGGGGCUAAUACCGGAUAGGAGCUCCUGCUGCAUGGUGGGGGUUGGAAAGUUUCGGCGGUUGGGGAUGGACUCGCGGCUUAUCAGCUUGUUGGUGGGGUAGUGGCUUACCAAGGCUUUGACGGGUAGCCGGCCUGAGAGGGUGACCGGCCACAUUGGGACUGAGAUACGGCCCAGACUCCUACGGGAGGCAGCAGUGGGGAAUAUUGCACAAGGGGUGGAAGCCUGAUGCAGCAACGCCGUGUGCGGGAGGACGGCCUUCGGGUUGUAAACCGCUUUCGCUCAUGACGAAGCUUUGUGUGACGGUAGUGGGUAAAGAAGCACCGGCUAACUACGUG